ensembl:lncRNA novel transcript
UGGAGUUCUGGCCACCAUCUGAUAACAUUCUGCUCAGGCUUAAAUGGGCCAAUGGAAGUACAGGGACUACUUCAGAGCUGGGCAUAAGAGAGGUGCUCAUCAAAGAUUUGGGUCACAGUUCAAGCAAUGUAGUCCUGUAACAAUGCUGUCCUUAUACCUGCAUAACCAAAGCUUCCAGACACAGAGCACAUUUCCAUCAUGUGCUCCAACACACCUAGCCAUCAUGCCUCCUCAUGCAGGUUUGCCUACCUGCAGUGCCCUGCCCACUUGACC